CGGGUCUAGUGGCGCACGGGUGCGUAACGCGUGGGAAUCUGCCCUUUGCUUCGGAAUAACAGUUAGAAAUGACUGCUAAUACCGGAUGAUGUCGUAAGACCAAAGAUUUAUCGGCAAAGGAUGAGCCCGCGUAGGAUUAGGUAGUUGGUGGGGUAAAGGCCUACCAAGCCGACGAUCCUUAGCUGGUCUGAGAGGAUGAUCAGCCACACUGGGACUGAGACACGGCCCAGACUCCUACGGGAGGCAGCAGUGGGGAAUAUUGGACAAUGGGCGAAAGCCUGAUCCAGCAAUGCCGCGUGAGUGAUGAAGGCCUUAGGGUUGUAAAGCUCUUUUACCAGGGAUGAUAAUGACAGUACCUGGAGAAUAAGCUCCGGCUAACUCCGUGCCAGCAGCCGCGGUAAUACGGAGGGAGCUAGCGUUGUUCGGAAUUACUGGGCGUAAAGCGCACGUAGGCGGUCUAUCAAGUCAGGGGUGAAAGCCCGGAGCUCAACUCCGGAACUGCCCUUGAAACUAGUAGACUAGAAUCUUGGAGAGGCGGGUGGAAUUCCGAGUGUAGAGGUGAAAUUCGUAGAUAUUCGGAAGAACACCAGUGGCGAAGGCGGCCCGCUGGACAAGUAUUGACG
rnacentral:rRNA from 1 species